rnacentral:rRNA from 1 species
GACGAACCGUGCGAACGUUGUUCGGAUUCACUGGGCUUAAAGGGCGCGUAGGCGGCUUGCCAAGUCAGGGGUGAAAUCCUUCGGCUCAACCGGAAAAGUGCUUCUGAUACUGGCAGGCUGGAGGGAGGUAGGGGCAGAUGGAACUUCCGGUGGAGCGGUGAAAUGCGUAGAUAUCGGAAGGAACGCCGGUGGCGAAAGCGACUUCCUGGACCAGUACCGACGUUCAGGCACGAAAGCGUGGGGAGCAAACAGG